rnacentral:misc_RNA from 1 species
CCUCCUUAUACGAUUUAGAACUUAUUUGUUCGUAGUGUCCACACAGAUGAUUGUUAGUUAGUUUUACCCUUUGGGUUUAACUGAUUAAUAUGCUCUUUAAAAAUUUGGAAAAGCUGAUAAUAAAAUUCUGAUAGAUACUUGGUAUUUAUCAAGAGUUUUCAAAAGUAAAAAAGAAUGAUAGCAGUAUCAUUCAGUGCCAAUUUAAUCAUUCAUGAUCAAUUGGUAUCUACUUUAGUAUUCAAUAUUAACUUCUGGCGAAGUUAAACUGUCACUAACAAAGACCCGUUUGGGUUGUAUGGUUUAAGUGACUAAGCCGUACACGGGUUGGAUGCCUUGGGCAAAGGGGCGAAAUUCCAACCACACUGGGCGGGCCCGUUUACUAUUUGGAAUCCCGAACCUCCGUGUACCCAAGCCUUUGGACGGUUAAUUCAUUGGGGCCAAUAAGGCUUGUUUCUCCCCGGUGGUUGAAAAUUUGUGUUAUUCCGGCCUCC